rnacentral:lncRNA from 10 species
UUUAAUAAAUGUAUCUUAUUCUCUAUUUAUAUAUAUCUAGAGAAAAGCCAAGGAUUUCUUACUUAAAAUUUUGUGCUCUUCAUGUCAGGGGAGGAGCCAAGAUGGCCGAAUAGGAACAGCUCCGGUCUACAGCUCCCAGCGUGAGCGACUCAGAAGAUGGGUGAUUUCUGCAUUUCCAUCUGAGGUACCGGGUUCAUCUCACUAGGGAAUGCCAGACAGUGGGCGCAGCUACAAGCAAGAAGAUCCUGGAUCAUGCCAGAGGUUUAAAAGAAGAAGUGAAGUUCAACAAGUUCAUGUCAUAUUUUAACAUGUUCCAGAAUUUCUCACAGGUCUACCAAACUCAAAUGCAACAUUUCCAAAUCACCGUUAAUGGUCUUCGCCUCAAAUCUGUGAAUGGUAUCCUAUGAAGUUGUGCAAUAUGAUAUCUUCAGAUCCCCCAUCUCUGAAUGUUCCCACCUGUGUGUGCAGCAAAGAGCCAAAGUUUAAUCUUUGACAUUUUCUUUCUUUCUCCCACAUUCCAUUAGUUAUUGUUCUGUCCCUGUAUCGUAUGUUUUCGUUGCCCUCUAUACCUACCUUACAUAAAACUUAAUAGAGCAUAUAACUAAUUAUGUAUUUUCUUGAUGAUCUAAUCAACAAUAAACUUUCUCAGUAGUCUAAAUUCUUCAUGAAAUCAUAGACUAUAUUUUACUCACUAUUAUAGCCCUAGUAUAUAGCAAUAUUGUUAUAUGUGAGGUGCUUAAUAUAUAAUUUUCCAAGGUAUUAAUUAACUAAUUAUAUAAAUAAAUUAAAAACAUUUUAUGAGAAAGUUUCUCAAAUCCUUUUAAGAUUAUUUGAAUAUAUUCAUGUCUGAAUAUUUCAAGGUUUUUAAAAAAUACUACAACACUUAUUUGAGUAAUCACUAAUAAACAAAUAUUCAGUUUAAUGAGUUCAAAUCUAUUCCACGUAAGUGAGAAAUAGACCAAUUAAAUAAUAAAGCUCCUCAUUUUAAAUAUUUUAAUGUAGCAACAAAUACUGAGUGGUGCUUAGAGACAAUG